rnacentral:rRNA from 1 species
UGAGGAAUAUUGCGCAAUGGGCGCAAGCCUGACGCAGCGACACCGCGUGAAGGAUGAAGGCUUUAGGGUCGUAAACUUCUGUUAAGUGGGAAGAAAAGGGUAGUUCUAAUACAACUAUUUUAUGACGGUACCACUAGAGAAAGCACCGGCUAACUUCGUGCCAGCAGCCGCGGUAAGACGAGGGGUGCAAACGUUAUUCGGAAUGAUUGGGCGUAAAGGGUGCGCAGGCGGUAUAUUAAGUCAACUGUUAAAUUCCUCAGCUUAACUGAGGCCCAGCGGUAGAUACUGGUAUACUUGAGAGUGGAAGAGAGAAGUGGAAUUCUCGGAGUAGCGGUAAAAUGCGUAGAUCUCGAGAGGAACACCGAUGGCGAAGGCAGCUUCUUGGUCCAUUUCUGACGCUCAUGCACGAAAGCGCGGGGAGCAAACAGG